UUGGUUGUAGCUGGUCUAUUUAUUUAGGCAUGUAAACACCUCCCUCUUUCAUCCCACACACACCUGUGAACUUGUGAGACAGUUGGGGAAUUUAUUUGUUAUUUUUUGUAAUAAAAUGAUAAGUAAUAAAAUGAACCCUUCUGUCUACUCAACUCAUAUAAAAUCAAUUUAUCAUAAAUGAAUGUAAUGGAUGUAACACAUCUCAUACUAAGUUUCAACAACGGAUCUCUUGGCUCUCGCAUCGAUGAAGAACUGAAUGUAAUGCGAUAAGUAAUGUGAAUUGCAGAAUUCAGUGAAUCAUCGAAUCUUUGAACGCACCUUGCGCUCCUUGGUAUUCCUUGGAGCAUGCCUGUUUGGAGCAUCGUGAAAUCUUCAAAAUCAAUCUUUUUGUUAACUCAAUUAAUUUGAUUUUGGUAUUGGAGGUCUUUUGCAGCUUCACACCUGCUCCUCUUUGUGUAUUAGCUGGAUCUCAGUGUUAUGCUUGGUUCCACUCAGCGUGAUAAAUUAUCUAUCGCUGAGGACACUGUAAAAAGUGGCCAAGGUAAAUGCAGAUGAACCAAUGCAAAUAGUCCAUUGACUUGGACACUAUUAUUAUGAUCUGAUCUCAAAUCAGGUAGGACUACCCGCUGAACUU
rnacentral:rRNA from 1 species